UUAAACUGAAGAGUUUGAUCAUGGCUCAGAUUGAACGCUGGCGGCAGGCUUAACACAUGCAAGUCGAGCGGUAACAUU
rnacentral:rRNA from 1 species